UCACCCGCGAGUCGCGAGAGGGUGGAUCCUAUUUGACGCUCGUUAGCGUCAGAACAUCAUGGCUUCGCUGAAGCCACCGUCUAGACGGGCCGGCCCUUUGCAACUCUUGUACUGUUUCGAGUCCUUGUCGCCAUUCUUAGCUUCCUUCCUUUGCUCUCUUUCUCGUCUCGCUUCCCCAGCCCGCGUUUCUCUUCUCUCUUCGCUUGCUUCUUCUCUUUAUCUUCGUGACUCCCCGGCCGGCGUUUUCUCUUCGUGGAAUUGGUUGCUGCCAUGGCUGCGCAAGGCCAAAAUGUUCCUGUACGGUCCACUGCGAAUUUCCAGUCACGGUUUUCUACUCUUCGUUGGGCCAAAGUUGUUAGUAAGAUGUCUCCUUUGCAAAGAAGCUUUAUGGCAGACUAAUUCAACCAUCUUCUGAAUGUGCGCGAACAUGUGGUUGUGCCCAUGGAUUUGCUGCAAUGGUUAGCAAAGCAUAUGCGGUAUGGUUAAGUAGGCAUUUUCUAGCACAACAACAAAGUCAUUCAUAUCGCCCGAGAUAUGGUUGACAUAUGCGCUAUGGAAUAACAAUCUGGUCCGGUUGGCUACCUGAGUCUAGAAUUAGAGUAGAUCGAGUGAAAUGUAAAAGCAAAACCUCUCAAUCUGAACACUAGUUGGUGCUUGGAUGUGUUUCGUUUCUCACAAAUUUGGCAGUUCUGAUGUGAUGAUGUUCUUCCAUAGUUAGUGAAGUUUGGUCCCCAAAUAGUAUGUGCAAGGUGAUUCAUAGUGUUAUUUCGUUAAGCAAUUUUCCUUA